AUUGGUAAUACUUUACGAUCUCUUUAACAAGUGGGUGUAAAAGUAUUAAGAUUCAAUUAUACUUUGCACGAUAUUUGUAAAAGGAGGUCAUUUUAAUGACUGGUAAAGUAAAAUGGUUUAACGCAGAAAAAGGUUUCGGUUUCAUCGAGCGCGAAGACGGAGACGACGUAUUCGUACACUUCUCAGCAAUCCAAGCUGAUGGUUUCAAAACUCUUGAAGAAGGUCAAGAAGUUGAAUUCGAAAUCGUAGAAGGUAACCGCGGACCACAAGCAGCUAACGUAGUUCGUAUAUAAUUACAAAAUAUAUAAGGCCUAUCUCAUCAGGAGGUAGGUCUUUUU
rnacentral:sRNA from 1 species